GUGCCAGCAGCCGCGGUAAUACGUAGAUGGCAAGCGUUGUCCGGAUUUAUUGGGCGUAAAGCGAGCGCAGGCGGUUCUUUAAGUCUGAUGUGAAAGACCCCAGCUCAACUGGGGAAGGUCAUUGGAAACUGGAGAACUUGAGUGCAGAAGAGGAGAGUGGAAUUCCAUGUGUAGCGGUGAAAUGCGUAGUUAUAUGGAGGAACACCAGUGGCGAAGGCGACUCUCUGGUCUGUAACUGACGCUGAGGCUCGAAAGCGUGGGGAGCAAACAGGAUUAGAAACCCUGGUAGUCC
rnacentral:rRNA from 1 species